rnacentral:rRNA from 1 species
GACGAACGCUGGCGGCGUGCCUAAUACAUGCAAGUUGAGCGCUGAAGGUUGGUACUUGUACCAACUGGAUGAGCAGCGAACGGGUGAGUAACGCGUGGGGAAUCUGCCUUUGAGCGGGGGACAACAUUUGGAAACGAAUGCUAAUACCGCAUAAAAACUUUAAACACAAGUUUUAAGUUUGAAAGAUGCAAUUGCAUCACUCAAAGAUGAUCCCGCGUUGUAUUAGCUAGUUGGUGAGGUAAAGGCUCACCAAGGCGAUGAUGCAUAGCCGACCUGAGAGGGUGAUCGGCCACAUUGGGACUGAGACACGGCCCAAACUCCUACGGGAGGCAGCAGUAGGGAAUCUUCGGCAAUGGACGAAAGUCUGACCGAGCAACGCCGCGUGAGUGAAGAAGGUUUUCGGAUCGUAAAACUCUGUUGGUAGAGAAGAACGUUGGUGAGAGUGGAAAGCUCAUCAAGUGACGGUAACUACCCAGAAAGGGACGGCUAACUACGU